rnacentral:tRNA from 1 species
GACGAGGUGGCCGAAUGGUUAAGGCGGCAGACUGCAAAUCUGUUAUUCAUGAGUUCGAAUCUCAUCCUCGCCU